CUUGUCCCAUCAGUGCAACUCCCGUAAGGACUCGGGAGAGGCGAAGGUCGAGAGCCGUGCGUCCUCCGAAAUACUACCCAGCCAAGCCACACUGCUCCUUGACACAAUGCCCGCUUAACCCGGAAGCCAGCUGCACCAAUGUGUGGGAGGAAACACAGUACACCUGGCGACCGUGAAUGUACACUAGAAAGCGGUACAUUUCCGCGUGCCGCGUAGGCCGCCCAUUGUGAUUCCAAUUGGCCACAUGGCUGGGAGAACCUAUUCAAGUAGCUUGCUAACAGCCAUGGAGGGUGAAAGGAUAGCAGCCCCAACUGUCAGUGAGAGAGGAGGCUAUUCUGGAUAGGGCAGGUACUUUUAUGUAGUUCCUGUCCCUAAAAGUGAGGAUGGCGAUAAUAUUACCUUAAUAUUCAGUGCGGUGUAAUUUGACUAUAAUGAAGUCUGUUUCUUGUGAGGUUUUCUGUCCUCAGAUAGAGGUCCCAAUGAAGAGCAGUGGUUCUCAGUCCCGGGGACUCAAAGGGGUGCACAUUUUUGUUUUUGCCUUAGCACUGCACAGCUGAUUCAAAUGAUCAACUCAUCGUCAAGCUUCUAGUGAUACCUUGUAGCUGGAGAUUCCUUCAAAAUGAUUGCCUACAGUUACCGUGUAGGGCACUGCAAGGUUGGGUGACCAGGGCCAUCUGGGACUGCCUCCUGGAGGAAUUCAGGUGUGUGAAGGCUACCUGUGUUCUGCAUAACUUCAUGAGGAUGGACACGAGGACCAGGAGGGGAUCUGCAGCUCGCCGCCGUGUGCCAGAGGAGAAGUCUGCAGGAUGCUUCAAGGAUGGGGUCCAACAAUGCAGCAAGAGAAGCAAUCCGUGUGCGGGAGAUCUUCACCUCCUACUUCUUUGAAGAGGGAGUUGUUCCCUGGCAACACCAUAGACUACACUACGCACAACCAAAGGCUCUUUUAAUAGCCAUUCACAUUGCAAUAAGAGUAUUUUACCAUUUACUUAGCUAUGUCAACUGCAGUUAUUCAAUUCCCAGUUUCUGUCCCUGUGAUUUCCACUUCUCAGGUGAGGGUACUGUUUAGGUAAGGGUGUGCUGUCUGUACAAAAACAAAAACAGGCUAUUUUAAGUCACCCAUAUUGAAAAAGAAUUAUUAGACACCCUAUAACCCACAUCAGGGUUCCAAGAUGGCAUAGCAGUCAGACGUCCUUUGUCCUCGUCUUGUCCCGUGUGUGUGUGUGUGUG